GCGCCCACUUCGGCAGCACAUAUGCUAAAAUUGGAACGAUAGAAGAUUAACCUGGCCCCUGUGCAAGGAUGACAUGCAGAUUCAUGAUGCGUUCCAUAUUUUU
ensembl:snRNA U6 U6 spliceosomal RNA